rnacentral:rRNA from 1 species
UACGUAGGGUGCAAGCGUUGUCCGGAAUUAUUGGGCGUAAAGAGCUCGUAGGCGGUCUGUCGCGUCGGCUGUGAAAUCCCGGAGCUCAACUCCGGGCCUGCAGUCGAUACGGGCAGACUGGAGUUCGGCAGGGGAGACUGGAAUUCCUGGUGUAGCGGUGAAAUGCGCAGAUAUCAGGAGGAACACCGGUGGCGAAGGCGGGUCUCUGGGCCUUACCUGACGCUCAGGUGCGAAAGCUAGGGGAGCGAACAGG